AGUGAACGCUGGCGGUAGGCCUAACACAUGCAAGUCGAACGGCAGCACAGUAAGAGCUUGCUCUUACGGGUGGCGAGUGGCGGACGGGUGAGGAAUACAUCGGAAUCUACUUUUUCGUGGGGGAUAACGUAGGGAAACUUACGCUAAUACCGCAUACGACCUACGGGUGAAAGCAGGGGAACUUCGGACCUUGCGCGAUUGAAUGAGCCGAUGUCGGAUUAGCUAGUUGGCGGGGUAAAGGCCCACCAAGGCGACGAUCCGUAGCUGGUCUGAGAGGAUGCUCAGCCACACUGGAACUGAGACACGGUCCAGACUCCUACGGGAGGCAGCAGUGGGGAAUAUUGGACAAUGGGCGCAAGCCUGAUCCAGCCAUACCGCGUGGGUGAAGAAGGCCUUCGGGUUGUAAAGCCCUUUUGUUGGGAAAGAAAAGCAGCAGGUUAAUACCCCGCUGUUCUGACGGUACCCAAAGAAUAAGCACCGGCUAACUUCGUG
rnacentral:rRNA from 1 species